UGCCUUGGAGCUCGAUGGUAGAGCAGCCGUUUGCAUCACGGCGUGAGCAGGUUCGAUUCCUGACAAGGCAA
rnacentral:tRNA from 2 species